GAUGAACGCUGGCGGCGUGCCUAAUACAUGCAAGUCGAGCGAACGGACGAGAAGCUUGCUUCUCUGAUGUUAGCGGCGGACGGGUGAGUAACACGUGGAUAACCUACCUAUAAGACUGGGGUAACUUCGGGAAACCGUAGCUAAUACCGGAUAAUAUUUUGAACCGCAUGGUUCAAAAGUGAAAGACGGUCUUGCUGUCACUUAUAGAUGGAUCCGCGCUGCAUUAGCUAGUUGGUAAGGUAACGGCUUACCAAGGCAACGAUGCAUAGCCGACCUGAGAGGGUGAUCGGCCACACUGGAACUGAGACACGGUCCAGACUCCUACGGGAGGCAGCAGUAGGGAAUCUUCCGCAAUGGGCGAAAGCCUGACGGAGCAACGCCGCGUGAGUGAUGAAGGUCUUCGGACCGUAAAACUCUGUUAUUAGGGAAGAACAUAUGUGUAAGUAACUGUGCACAUCUUGACGGUACCUAAUCAGAAAGCCACGGCUAACUACGUG
rnacentral:rRNA from 1 species